AAUUGUAAAUCUUUUGAUACUAUUGUCCCUGAGUUCAUGAUUUUGUGAGUCAGUGGUUGUUAACAAGAAUGAAAAAUAGGAUGUCAUACUUUGUGUUUCAAUGAUCAUAGUAUUGAUGCAUUGCUUGGGAACCCAUCAAUCCCAUUUCAUUGUUUCUGUUGUUUAUGAAAUUCAACUUCCUUGAACUUACCAUUUCAUCCUGAUCUUGCCAAACAUAAUAUUUUUUUUUUAAUGCUGUUAAUAUGCUGGUCUAUUGCAAUCACGAGAAGUUCUCAUGGGACCAGAGAUUUGAGGAUUUAAACUUCUGCAAUGUUCUUUUAUGUCACCACCUUGGUAGUCUUCCUGUUCAUUCACCCAUCGUCUAAGAUUCUGUUAAUUACUACCAUGUACAAGAAGCAGAUAGUGGGAAAUGAUGGUUGUACCCACUACCCAGAGUUGGACUCAGCCCUUGCAUGAUCAUCACCUUGCUGUUUUAAUUUCGUGGCAUCAGUCUCUGGGGUUCCACUCUCCACAGAGGACAGAUAGUGAUUGACCUCACAGUGAAAUCAAGGAGCCAUGGAGUACAGAACUGAGUUGGAUGAUUGUCUAAAAUGUAUGUGCUUUUGCAAGCACGUUCAGCUGUGGAACAUUCUUCAUAUGUAACUGUUUGCUGUGAUAAAGUGAAGCCCACAGUUUUCAAAUCCAUGAUGAACCUCAACAGAUUUGAAAGAAGGGCUGUCCUGUUGUCUUGUUACUCUAGAGCUGGAGAACACAAAUUGGUAGCGUAAAGACUUUGAUAAAAGCAAGGCAAAGAUGUCUCGUAGUCAUUAUGUAAAAAUUUAUGUUCAGUAAGUAAUCAGAGAAUCUAAUAACUGUUGAAGCUUCAUAUAAUCAAAGUUUGAAGAGUCAAAACAAUUAUAACAAGUUACAAAGUUUCAAAAAAAUUUAUGGUAGACAAGAUGUACAUAAAUUGAGGGAUCCUUUUUUACUUUUGUAUUCAAGACAGAAAUAGUCAAUGUUUAAUAGACCUAUCUUAAUUGUGCUUAGAUGCGUAAGUGCAACUUUUAUUAUUAUUAGAAAUUAUGUUGAGCUCUUUAGCUUAUAACUAAUGUGAAUCCUUUGUCAG
rnacentral:misc_RNA from 1 species